GUCGGACAAGACGAUUCUAAGGAAGGGACAGCGAGCAUAAGCCCGGGGUGACAGAAAGAAACUAAAAAUGAAAUUGGCUAGUAAUGGCCGUGACAGUGACCACAGAGGCUAACGCUCAGCUCUUCCACGCGGCAGGCUCUGCUGAGUGCUUCGCAGGAAUGAAGCCCGGACGCCUCCCGGCCAGCGCCCCUGUCCAGCAGGUGCUGUGUCCACCUGUGUUUCCCAGGUGCCGAGAUGGAGGCACAGUGACCUGCCCCCUGGUCGCCCGUCUUGUCAGGGGCAGAGCUGGGGAGGGAACCGGGGCCCCUGGCUCCACACUUCAGCUCUGCUGCCUUCCACGUCCGUGAGGAUAAGGGAGGAACUGCUUUUGCAAAUUGCUUCUCCCAGAAGGUGGAACCGCAUUGCACGCAGAAGAGUAACACAGCGACCCCUCCAUCUCCCAACAACAGGAUCCCAGGGCCAAGUGCGGUAACCGCUGGCCCGCGGAGCGCUCCAGGCACGGCCAGGACUGCGUGCCAACCGCCGGGCUCCCAAUAUUGUCUUCCAGUUGCUAGACUACGCUGCUUUCCAGUACAUUAUCUGGGGUAUAAAAGCUGAAAUGUAAGUAAAGCAUUUUCAUACAAAUAAUUUCAACCGCAACAAGGCCAUUGGCUCCUGAUGGAGUUGGCAGGAAAAGGUAAUGAACUCACCCCGAUGGACAUAUUCAGCGUUCCUCCGGCCAAGUCCAAUUGGCAGCUUCGUAAUGAUGGAAACGUCCCUGUUAUUUCCACUCCACCAGGGCUAGGCCCGCUGGUAUCUGAUUCAGUGUUUACUUCAUGAAUGAGGUCAGUUCCCAGCACAGCUGGGGUUUCGGCAGAGGGCUCGCGCUGCUGGUCAGCACACAGCGUUCCCACUAGAACCUGACCGGAGCUGACAGGGCUCCCAGGGCCCCCUUCCCGCAGCCUGCCCUGGGCAGCCACUGUCUCUGGCAUUUUCUGGGGUCUGGCCCCACUCGCUGCUCUGCUAGCCCCUUCCCUGCAGAGGCGGACAGAGCCCGGGGCUGCAGCCUGGCACACGGAGGGCACGUCCAAGUUCCCCACAGCCCGGCACUCACUCUCCAACUUGCCCCCUUGGUAUUGCGACAUCUCGCCUUGUAGGAGCUUCGGAGCUGCCAGGAAACAGGGUAGGUUUGUUUGUUUUGUGUUUUUAAAAUUAUUUAUUCCAGGAUGGCUCCACUUGUGUGGUGAGAGAGUGACUCAGAGUGCCUGGGACGCCACCUCCAAAGGUAACCAUGUCCCACUGGCCGGCGUGUCCCGGGCCAACUCCCCACACUGGUCAAAAACAAAAACAAAAGCUCCCACGGGCCCAGAACACUCCUCUGCAAGAGCACACACGUAUGGAGCAGUGUCCUCGCCGCUCAUGGAGGGACUAGGAACACUGCGGGGCAGGAAGG